rnacentral:rRNA from 1 species
GUUAAUAACCGCAGCAAUUGACGUUACCCGCAGAAGAAGCACCGGCUAACUCCGUGCCGGCGGCGGCGGUAAUACGGAGGGUGCGAUGGGUUCAUCUAGAGUUACUUGCCGUAAAGCGCACGCAGGCGGUCUGUCAAGUCGGAUGUGAAAUCCCCGGGCUCAACCUGGGAACUGCAUUCGAAACUGGCAGGCUUGAGUCUUGUAGAGGGGGGUAGAAUUCCAGGUGUAGCGGUGAAAUGCGUAGAGAUCUGGAGGAAUACCGGUGGCGAAGGCGGCCCCCUGGACAAAGACUGACGCUCAGGUGCGAAAGCGUGGGGAGCAAACAGGAUUAGAUAC